rnacentral:rRNA from 1 species
CUUUACUGUAGCUUUACAUUGGACUUUGAACAGAUCUGUGUAGGAUAGGUGGGAGGCUUUGAAGCAGUGCCGCUAGGUGCUGUGGAGCCAACGUUGAAAUACCACCCUGGUGUGUUUGAGGUUCUAACCUUGGCCCGUUAUCCGGGUUGGGGACAGUGUAUGGUGGGCAGUUUGACUGGGGCGGUCUCCUCCCAAAGUGUAACGGAGGAGUUCGAAGGUACGCUAGGCACGGUCGGAAAUCGUGCUGAUAGUGCAUAGGCAUAAGCGUGCUUGACUGCGAGACUGACAAGUCGAGCAGGUACGAAAGUAGGACUAAGUGAUCCGGUGGUUCUGUAUGGAAGGGCCAUCGCUCAACGGAUAAAAGUUA